GAUCCUGGCUCAGAACGAACGUUGGCGGCGUGGAUGAGGCAUGCAAGUCGAACGUGAAAACCUUCGGGUGAGUAGCGUGGCGACGGGCGAGUAACACGUAACCAAGCUGCCUGUCAGACGGGGAUAACUCCGGGAAACCGGAGCUAAGACCCGAUGGCCUUGCGGGAUCGCAUGUUCCUGCAAGUAAAUGGACGGGACCCUCCGGGGCCGUCUGCUGACAGAGGUGGUUGCGGCCCAUCAGCUAGUUGGUAGGGUAAUGGCCUACCAAGGCUACGACGGGUAGCCGGCCUAAGAGGGUGGUCGGCCGCACUGGGACUGAGACACUGCCCAGACUCCUACGGGAGGCUGCAGUCGAGAAUCUUCCGCAAUGGGCGAAAGCCUGACGGAGCGACGCCGCGUGGAGGACGAAGGCCUUCGGGUUGUAAACUCCUGCCACGAGUUAAGAAGGCUCGAGGACGAACAGUCUUCGGGUUUGACGUAAGCUCGAGAGGAAGCACUGGCUAACUCUGUG
rnacentral:rRNA from 1 species